rnacentral:rRNA from 1 species
GAUGAACGCUAGCGGGAGGCUUAAUACAUGCAAGUCGAGCGGCAGCGCGUCCGACCACCCUCGGGUGGUCGGAUGGCGGCGAGCGGCGGACGGGUGAGGAAUGCAUCGGAAUCUGCCUCGUUGUGGGGGAUAACGUAGGGAAACUUACGCUAAUACCGCAUACGACCUACGGGUGAAAGUGGGGGACCUUCGGGCCUCACGCGAUGAGAUGAGCCGAUGCCGGAUUAGCUAGUUGGCGGGGUAAAGGCCCACCAAGGCGACGAUCCGUAGCUGGUCUGAGAGGAUGAUCAGCCACACUGGAACUGAGACACGGUCCAGACUCCUACGGGAGGCAGCAGUGGGGAAUAUUGGACAAUGGGCGCAAGCCUGAUCCAGCAAUGCCGCGUGUGUGAAGAAGGCCUCGGUUGUAAGCACUUUAUCAGACGAAAGACGUAGGAUAAUACUCUGACGUGCUGACGGUA